GGAAGGUAGCUGAAGGCGUGGGCUCCGUCAGAGGAAUGGAGUCUAACGCAGGUCUGUCUCUUUUAGGUACCUUCCUGCUGUGCUCUUAGCCCCAGUAAAACCUGGUCUCUGCAAGGGGCCUGAUGGUUCACCAGUGACUCAGAAGGCAGCCGAGGUGCUCUGGGAGAAACAUCAUGUAUGGAAGUUCUGGCUCUGAGUCCUUCCUGGGCCAUUUGCGAAACAGAGGAAGAUAACUUGGGAGAAAGAGCCUAGAAAAUGGCCUGACAUAAAGCUUCCUCAUCUUUACGCACACCCAAGCCAAGGACUUCAGUAUCGUCAACUCCUUCUGCUUUUGAUUUCAUGCCCCCAGCACCGCGCAGCCAUGAAAUCCCAUCAAUUCUGCCUGUGGAAGUACCUCUCAGAUCCAUCUAUUCACUUUAACAACGAUUAACCCACCCAAUGACAGGGCUCCAGGCAACUCUCUCAUUUGCUGCUCAGUGUAAUUUUCUGGAGGGGAAUUUGGGAAUGUAUUUCAAUAAUCUUUAAAAUAGUUCUAUUGAUACUUUUGACUCAGCAGUUGCACCCUAUGAAUAAGGGGUGGUGGUAAAAGAUAAGAACAAAGACAUUUUUAGAAAGCAAGAACAUGUACAACGACAUGUUUUAAAAUAAUAUUUAAUAAG